rnacentral:rRNA from 1 species
AUUGAACGCUGGCGGCAGGCUUAACACAUGCAAGUCGAGCGGGGUGAUGGUGCUUGCACUAUCACUUAGCGGCGGACGGGUGAGUAAUGCUUAGGAAUCUGCCUAUUAGUGGGGGACAACAUCUCGAAAGGGAUGCUAAUACCGCAUACGUCCUACGGGAGAAAGCAGGGGAUCACUUGUGACCUUGCGCUAAUAGAUGAGCCUAAGUCGGAUUAGCUAGUUGGUGGGGUAAAGGCCUACCAAGGCGACGAUCUGUAGCGGGUCUGAGAGGAUGAUCCGCCACACUGGGACUGAGACACGGCCCAGACUCCUACGGGAGGCAGCAGUGGGGAAUAUUGGACAAUGGGGGGAACCUGAUCCAGCCAUGCCGCGUGUGUGAAGAAGGCCUUAUGGUUGUAAAGCACUUUAAGCGAGGAGGAGGCUCUUUUGGUUAAUACCCAAGAUAAGUGGACGUUACUCGCAGAAUAAGCACCGGCUAACUCUGUGCCAGCCGCCGCGGUAA